UUGAGCCCUAAAAGUAUAACUUUACAACUAGUACUUUUUCUCAUUCAAUCGAACAAAGAGCAAAACCUAAUUUUAUUGUUCUAUUAUGCCACGGGAGUGUAAAUUUGGAACGAAUCGAUGUCAACGUUCACUAGACCCAAAACCGGAACAACAUUAGACAACUCAGUUGUCCCAUAACAGUAUAACUUUGCAACGAGUACUUUUUCUCAUUCUAUCGAAUAAGGAGUAAAAGCUUUCUAUUAUGCCCUGAGAGUGUAAAUUGAACGAAUCGAUGUCAACGUUCACAAGAACCAAAAUUGGAACAAAGUUAGGCUACUCAGUUGAGCCCUAAUAGUAUAACUUUGCAACCAGUACAUUUUUUCAUUCAAUCGAACAAAGUGCAAGAACUAAUUAUAUGGUUCUAUUAUGCCCCGAGAGUUUAAAUUUGGAACGAAUCGAUAUAAACGUUCACAAGACCCAAAAUCGGAACAAAGUUAGACUACUCAGUUGAGCCCUAAAAGUAUAACUUUACAACUAGUACUUUUUCUCAUUCGAUCGAACAAAGAGCAAAACCUAAUUUUAUUGUUCUAUUAUGCUCCGGGAGUGUAAAUUUGGAACGAAUCGAUGUCAACGUUUACAAGAACCAAAACCGGAACAAUAUUAGACUACUCAGUUGAGCGCUAACAGUAUAACUUUGCAACUAGUACUUUUUCUCAUUCAAUCGAUCAAAGAGCAAAACCUAAUUAUAUUCUUCUAUUAUGCCCCGAGAGUGUAAAUUUGGAACGAAUCGAUGUAAACGUUCACAAGAACCAAAACCGGAACAAAGUUAUACUACUCAGUUGAGCCCAAACAGUAUAACUUUGCAACUAGUACUUUUUCUCCUUCAAUCGAACAAAGAGCAAAACCAAAUUAUAUUGUUCUAUUAUACCCCGAGAGUGUAAAUUUGGAACGAAUCGAUGUCAACGUUCACAAGAACCAAAACCGGAACAAGAUUAGACUACUCAGUUGCGCCACAACAGUAUAACUUUGCAACGAUUACUUUUUCUCAUUCUAUCGAACAAAGGGUAAAACCUUUCUAUUAUGCCCCGAAAGUGUAAAUUUGGAACGAAUCGAUGUGAACGUUCACAAGAACCAAAACCGGAACAAAUUAUACUACUCAUUGCGCCGUAACAGUAUAACUUUGCAACUAGUACUUUUUCUCAUUCAAUCGAACAAAGAGCAAAACCUAAUUAUAUUCUUCUAUUAUGCCCCGAGAGUGUAAAUUUGGAAUGAAUCGAUGUAAACGUUCACAAGAACCAAAACCGGAACAAAGCUAGACUACUCAGUUGAGCCCUAACUGUAUAACUUUGCAACGAGUACUUUUUAUCAUUCUAUUGAAUAAGUAGUAAAAGCUUUCUAUUAUGCCCCGAGAGUGUAAAUUUGGAACGAAUCGAUGUAAAUGAUCACAAGAACCAAAACCGGAACAAAGUUAUACUACUCAGUUGAGCCCUAACAGUAUAACUUUGCAACUAGUACUUUUUCUCAUUCAAUCGAACAAAGAGCAAAACCAAAUUAUAUUGUUCUAUUAUACCCCGAGAGUGUAAAUUUGGAACGAGUCGAUGUCAACGUUCACAAGAACCAAAACCGGAACAACAUUAGAUUACUCAGUUGCGCCAUAACAGUAUAACUUUGUAACGAGUUCUUUUUCUCAUUCUAUCGAACUAGGAGUAAAAACUUUCUAUUAUGCCCCGAGAGUGUAAAUUUGGAACGAAUCAAUGUAAACGAUCAAAAGAACCAAAAUCGGAACAAAAUUAGACUACUCAGUUGCGCCGUAACAAUAUAACUUUGCAACUAGUACUUUUUCUCAUUCAAUCAAACAAAGAGCAAAAC
rnacentral:lncRNA from 1 species